rnacentral:lncRNA from 1 species
GUUCACAGAGUUAGCUCUGUAUUCAUAGAACCAUUUGAAAUAAUUGCAGCUGGUGUGGACAUUUAACUGACCAAUUAAAAGAAUUUUAUCAUUUGACUCCUGCCAAACAUUUGACAUAAGUACAAAAUGAUUUUUGAAUGAUGCGCACCUUUACGGGCUGUUUGUUCUCCUGAGAGGUGAGGCUUUCAUCCAGAAUUGCUGUGUCUCUUGAACUCAGGCCAGCUCUUCCUCUUAGAGUUUCCUGUCACAAGUAAUAAGUGAAAAAUAAACCAUUCCAUCCUUCUUGCAGAAACACCACGGAGCCCGAGUUAAUGUUUUUAGCCCAGCUCCAAAGAGGCAGAGGAGGCCAAUUAUAGCUGUCGAAGGCAAGCUGGACUUGGUCUUUGCAGGUUUUUGGAACUUUGGGGACUGUUAUGAAUAAAGCCGCUAUGAACAUUUAUAUGCAAGGCUCUGUUUGGACUUCUGUUGGGG